CUCGUCUACCAAAACUGUAUCGCAAAUUUAACUACCCCUCAGUAACUGGUAAUGUCAAAACGAAAUUGAUGGAAACAAUUUUGAAACUGGCAACACAAGUUGAUAAAUUAUUGAUUUUAAAUAACAGUUACCAUAACCUUGGUUACUGCUUAGUGAAGACUUGAGAAUUGUAAACAAAACAAAUGGGAAAACGGGUAUUUCUAAGGAAAAAUUAAAAUUCCUCGAGUGAAUAAUCUCUUUGUGCAGAAUGUCCAACUGAUCUAGAAAUUAUCGGAUAUACUAUCCUGCAAAAUCGUUUUGUUUUGAUUGGUCACUAUAAAUAUCGUUCUCCCCCAGAUAGUUUAAUAAAUACAAUGUACAAUGUUACAAAUUAACGUUCGUGCACCGAGUCGUAUACGAACUUUGACUUCACCGGAUAUUUCAGCGAAGCGCUAUCGAUUAGGGUUGUGUUGCAGCAAGGUAAUGACGUCAUAAUUUUGAAAAAAACAGCUGCACGAUUUUAAAUAAGCAACACUUUCAAACUCAUGGAAUGACCAUCGUUCAAACUCAUGGAAUGCCCAUCAGAAUCGCCAGGCCACUUUGAACUUUUAUGGGAAGAAGUUGACCAAAAUAUGGUAAGCCCAGGAGGGUAAUUUUACGCACAGAUGGGAACAACCUACUAUUUUGAAGUAUUACCCUAAUCUAACGGAACUGGCAUUUAAAUACGACAUAACAGUUUUUGAACGAUAACAUUUUUU